rnacentral:rRNA from 1 species
GACAGAGGAUGCAAGCGUUAUCCGGAAUCAUUGGGUUUAAAGGGUCCGCAGGCGGGAAAAUAAGUCAGUGGUGAAAUCUCUCGGCUCAACCGAGAAACUGCCAUUGAUACUGUUUUUCUUGAAUUCGAUCGAAGUGGGCGGAAUGUGACAUGUAGCGGUGAAAUGCUUAGAUAUGUCACAGAACACCGAUAGCGAAGGCAGCUCACUAGGUCUGGAUUGACGCUCAGGGACGAAAGCGUGGGGAGCAAACAGG